rnacentral:tRNA from 1 species
AAGCCCCGGCAGGAGUCAUUUGCUCUUUAAAAUUUGCAAUUUUAUGUGCUAUACACCACAAGGCU